rnacentral:misc_RNA from 1 species
GAAAUGCGAUAAGUAAUGUGAAUUGCAGAAUUCAGUGAAUCAUCGAAUCUUUGAACGCACAUUGCGCCCGCCAGUAUUCUGGCGGGCAUGCCUGUUCGAGCGUCAGUACAACCCUCAGGCCCCCGGGCCUGGCGUUGGGGAUCGGCGGAAGCCCCCUGCGGGCACAACGCCGUCCCCCAAAUACAGUGGCGGUCCCGCCGCAGCUUCCAUUGCGUAGUAGCUAACACCUCGCAACUGGAGAGCGGCGCGGCCACGCCGUAAAACACCCAACUUCUGAAUGUUGACCUCGAAUCAGGUAGGAAUACCCGCUGAACUUAAGC